AUUGAACGCUGGCGGAAUGCUUUACACAUGCAAGUCGAACGGUAACAGGUCUUCGGAUGCUGACGAGUGGCGAACGGGUGAGUAAUAUAUCGGAACGUGCCCAGUCGUGGGGGAUAACGUAGCGAAAGUUACGCUAAUACCGCAUACGAUCUACGGAUGAAAGCGGGGGAUCGCAAGACCUCGCGCGAUUGGAGCGGCCGAUAUCAGAUUAGGUAGUUGGUGGGGUAAAGGCUCACCAAGCCAACGAUCUGUAGCUGGUCUGAGAGGACGACCAGCCACACUGGAACUGAGACACGGUCCAGACUCCUACGGGAGGCAGCAGUGGGGAAUUUUGGACAAUGGACGCAAGUCUGAUCCAGCCAUUCCGCGUGCAGGAUGAAGGCCCUCGGGUUGUAAAACUGCUUUUGUACGGAACGAAAAGGUUUCUAUUAAUACUAGGAGCUCAUGACGGUACCGUAAGAAUAAGCACCGGCUAACUACGUG
rnacentral:rRNA from 1 species